GCUGGUAAUAACUCAUACUUUCCUCCAGCGCUCCUGAGGAAAUGAGGACAAGCUGCCACCCUCAUGGGGGUGACGGCGAGGGAGGGAAAACAGGGCACCUAGGUGAAACCUCUGAGCCCUCCAACACCGCUAGGAAGAAAGUUUACAAGUCUCAAGAGUAUGAAGAUAUCGAUGACAACAGCAACUGAGAAAUAAUUCAAUGAUUAUGUCACUCUCAGAAGAUG